AUACGGGGGGUGCAAGCGUUGUCCGGAAUCAUUGGGCGUAAAGGGUUCGUAGGUGGAAUUAUAAGUCUGGUGUGAAAGCCCACAGCUCAACUGUGGAACUGCACUGGAUACUGUUUUUCUUGAGUUAUAGAGGGGUUUGUGGCAUUUCUGGUGUAGAGGUGAAAUUUGUAGAGAUCAGAAAGAACACCGGUGGCGAAGGCGACAAACUGGCUAUUAACUGACACUGAGGUACGAAAGCGUGGGGAGCAAACAGGAUUAGAAACCCGAGUAGUCC
rnacentral:rRNA from 1 species